CUCAGAAACACAUGUUUGUGGCUUUAUCUUAUAGAACUCAAUAUCCUCGUGCUGGGCAAACAGGUUUUGCAGCCGUUUGAGCUAAGAUUUUAAAAUUAUUCACAUAAUGAAAACCUAUACUUUGUCUCGGGCGAGUUUCCCAUUCAAAUGCAUGUAACAGUGAGAAACACACUGUCUUGGCGAAAGAAAGCAUUUUUGUACAACUUCAUAUAAAUCGCUGUAACUUUUGAUAGAAGACUCAGAAACACAUGUUUAUGGCUUUAUCUUAUAGAACUCAAUAUCCCCGUGCUGGGCAAACAGGUUUUGCAGCCGUUUGAGCUAAGAUUUUAAAAUUAUUCACAUAAUGAAAACCUAUACUUUGUUUCAGGCGAGUUUCCCAUUCAAAUGCAUGUAACAGUGAGAAACACACUGUCUUGGCGAAAUAAAGCGUUUUUGUACAACUUUAUAUAAAUCGGUGCAACUUUUGAUAGACGACUCAGAAACACAUGUCUAUGGCUUCAUCUUAAAGAAUUCAAUAUCCUCGUGCUGGGCAAACAGGUUUUGCAGCCGUUUGAGCUAAGAUUUUAAAAUUAUUCACAUAAUGAAAACCUAUACUUUGUCUCGGGCGAGUUUCCCAUUCAAAUGCAUGUAACAGUGAGAAACACACUGUCUUGGCGAAAUAAAGCGUUUUUGCACAACUUUAUAUAAAUCGGUGCAACUUUUGAUAGACGACUCAGAAACACAUGUCUAUGGCUUCAUCUUAAAGAAUUCAAUAUCCUCGUGCUGGGCAAACAGGUUUUGCAGCCGUUUGAGCUAAGAUUUUAAAAUUAUUCACAUAAUGAAAACCUAUACUUUGUCUCGGGCGAGUUUCCCAUUCAAAUGCAUGUAACAGUGAGAAACACAUUGUCUUGGCGAAAUAAAGCUUUUUUGUACAACUUUAUAUAAAUCGGUGCAACUUUUGAUAGAAGACUCAGAAACACAUGUUUAUGGCUU
ensembl:lncRNA